AUUGAACGCUGGCGGCAUGCCUUACGCAUGCAAGUCGAACGGCAGCGCGGACUUCGGUCUGGCGGCGAGUGGCGAACGGGUGAGUAAUACAUCGGAACGUACCCUGUUGUGGGGGAUAACUAGUCGAAAGAUUAGCUAAUACCGCAUACGACCUGAGGGUGAAAGUGGGGGACCGCAAGGCCUCACGCAGCAGGAGCGGCCGAUGUCUGAUUAGCUAGUUGGUGGGGUAAAGGCCCACCAAGGCGACGAUCAGUAGCUGGUCUGAGAGGACGAUCAGCCACACUGGGACUGAGACACGGCCCAGACUCCUACGGGAGGCAGCAGUGGGGAAUUUUGGACAAUGGGGGCAACCCUGAUCCAGCAAUGCCGCGUGUGUGAAGAAGGCCUUCGGGUUGUAAAGCACUUUUGUCCGGAAAGAAAUCGCGCUGGUUAAUACCUGGCGUGGAUGACGGUACCGGAAGAAUAAGCACCGGCUAACUACGUG
rnacentral:rRNA from 1 species